AACUUAUUUGUAAUGUUUUUAAGGUUGCUAUUGCUUUUGUAUUGUUGUCUGUUUACAGUUUCAUCUUUUUCCUUCUUUGGGAAAGCAAAGGAAUUUAAUGGUUUAACUUAUUUAACUUUUGCUAAUCUUAAUUCAAUCAUUGAUUACUACAAUUGUUUGUUUCUCCUGCUAUUAUCAUAAUAAUUAAAUUUUCAAGGGGAAACAGAAGGAUUACCUUAUUGUGUGUUUUGUCAUUUUGUUUAUGCUGUUUUCGUUUGGUUACAUUUCAAGGGGAACAAAGUUAAUUUUGGAAACAUCUUCUAAACUGAGUCUCUAAUUGGAUUAACAUUUAAUUGAAAGUUUUCCCAGUAAACAAACUUGGCUUUUGUUGAAUUGGAUUGUCUCUCAAUUGUCCUUCUUGUUGGUCACAAAAUCAAGACACAAAGAUGAUUAACACAGUGUUGCUGGUGAACAAUUGAGAUAUGCUUAUCAAUAUAAAUAUUGGUUGAAAUGGUCAAUUCGUAACAACCAGGAUUCAAAGACUAAUGACUGGCAACACUUGAUUCAGAUGGUUUUAAACAAUUUUCAGCUAUAAAAGGAAAUAAUUUAGACGAUUUACCUUUCAACUUUCUAUCCGAGGUUAAUUGAGUUAUAAGACAUGUGAUGACUGCCCAAAAAAUGCCGAUCAAUAAGCCACCCAAUGAGCUGGAUACAAAUGAUGCUAAAGCCAAAAUAAUAUCAGUUGCUCUUAUGUAUUCGGAGGUGGAAAACUCUUUCAAAUUUUCGUAUAAUGUUAUAACAACAGCAUCUAAAUUGUUUUGUAUAAAAAUCAUUACCAAAGAAGCAAAUAGAAGUGAUAAUAAGUUGAAGUUUACAUAUAAUUUACAAUUAUUUCUCAGUUUAACGCUUGAAUCAAUCAAGACUUUUAUAUCAGGCAAAGCAAAAGGUAAUUGUUAUAUUAAAUAUUGAAAUAUUUAUAUUA